rnacentral:lncRNA from 1 species
AUGUCAGAGAAUUUGAUGCAGGUAGUUUCAACAGGUCAGAAAUGCAGGGCUUUCUUGAGCAAACCAACCCCCCGUCACUACCCUGCCAUUCACAGCUUAAAACAAUGGGUGGGAGGCAAGCCGGAAAACGACGCACUCGAGAUAUCAGGACGGUUUUGUUUUUCCACCUUUUGCCGCUUAAACGGGGAAGGGGGCUCAUCCCUACCAAGGGGUGUAAGCUGGCUGCCUGUCACUCAAACCCUCGGAAAAAUAACAAACAUGCGCCAACACGCUGAACCAACUGUGCGAAUGCCAGUAGCACAUAUCAUGUCACAGGGAAGAAAAUGGGAAAAAAAAGGAACAGACUUUUACUUGUGACUAUACAAAAGGAGUGUGCAUGCAUGAUCAAUAUAUAUUAUGUGCAUGCAUGAUCAAUAUAUAUUAUUUUAAAACAUUUGCUGUAUAAAAAAUGUUAAAUCAAUGUCAUGACCUUGACAUUCUGAGCUGCUUUAGUUUUAAAGAGUGAUUCCCAAACUGAUGGUUUGUACUCCAAAGACCACUAAAACUGCAAUUAACCAUAUAUUUGCACAGAUCAGUUAGACUUUUGGUGCAAAUGUGUCAAUUUAUUUGGAAUGUAAAAUCUGGGACAUGAAUUUGAGAACUUUAAAGUCAUAUUUAGUUUUGAUUUUGAAGUGAUUUUACUCAUGCCAUAUUCAAAUAAAGUUUUUAUCUGCGAUGUUUUAGCAGUCAAGUUUCUUAAUACAAAAAGGCUAAAGAUAGCAACUUACACAACCGUAUCCAAGCAACUUGGAGAGUGUCUAGGGAAUGAAAAUUUCCUCAAAAGCAGAAUCGAUAAAGCAUCUUGCAUAUACCAUAUCUACACUUAAUAUUCCCACAGUGCAGUUUCCAUAACACAAAUGAGGAUUGGAGGGAGCGUAGCAAACAACGGCUUGCCAACAGAAACAAUCUCUGAUCCUCCUGAUGUCAACUAGUGGUUCGCAUACUUCGAUGAUUAAACCAGUGCCAGAUGUUUCCCAUGGAAGUAAAUGCAGCCAGUAUCCGCUGCUGGCAGGGGAGGCUGGAAGUUACCCCUGAAGGUCUGGCUCGAGAUCAGGGCUUCUUUGUAAAGGAACUGGGGUUGAUCUUGAUCUGAGAUCAGUUUGUUUGGGUGAUUUUAUCAGGCAAGCAGUUUGGAGUUCCACGUACUGGUGUUAAUUAUUGGUAAUCAUAACUUGAUAACUUAAUUCAGUGUGACUAUUACAUGACUAAAGUUUUGGCAAGUUGUCUUGGUCAACCAGAACAACACAAACUAACACAGUUCUGCAAUUUUCCAGUCGAGAUUAUGCCUGCGUCUCCAAAUGGUUAUGGUUAAAGCAAGAUCAUUCAUGAAAUAACAGUCAACAAUACUCAUUGUUGCAUUUCUAGUGAGCUAUAUUAAACUUCAUUUGAUCUCCUUUGUGCAGGAAGAUCUUAUCGAUAGAAUCUCUCCGUAACGCACCUAUUUUGCUGAUUCGCCAACGUACACUAUCACUUUCAUCGCUUUAUUUUCAGAUGACCUCGAAACCGAAGCUCUGCGAACAUCAUCACUUUCAUCAUAAAUGCAAAGUGAAACGCGACCCUGACAGAAGAUCCAUGGGGUAAACAAAGGCGAUUGAAAACACGGUAGAUUUUCUGAAAUGGGCCUUUGUGCUUAAAGGCUAAAAACAAGGUCAACAGCAGGCCAGAAAGAACACAGAAAAUGCAUUGUUUAAUUUCAAAACGUUAAUAUAUUUUCUAUUUUAUAGUGAACAUAUGCAUCAGAUUUGACACCCUUGUCACCCUUGUUCUGCAGCAACAACAGAGGAGGUUUUGUUUCUCAAAGUUGGGGUGAUGCCUAUAAAGAUGCCUCUCAAAAUAAAUAUUACUUUAUAAAAUAAUUAAAACUUCAAAUAAAUAUUUUUACACUAAACAAUGUGUUGAAAUUAGAAAAUAAAGUUUUUUCUUAGGGUCACUGUACAAUUUACAAGUAUAGUUGUAGGGAUAAUUCAUGUAAGGUUUCUCUUCUAUAAGGCAAAAUAUCAAAAAAGUGAUUGAUAUACAUUCAAAACGAAUGUAUAGCCCUAUACAUGUUUUAUAUAUGCAUCAUAUAUAUGGAUCUGUCAAGGUGCCUCUGGUUUGGCACAAUAGUUUUCACAGUUGAAAUAUUAUAUGUACAAAAAUAAAAUCUCUCAGAAAAAGAGCUCAUUUGCUAAUUUACAUACUUUGCAGAUACUAUUCACAAACAGUUAGUUAGAAGAGUCUGUCACCUUUAUCAGUCAUAUUACUGAAUGUCAAUAGGGCUAACAUUCUGGACUUCAGUUUAAAACAAAAAGGACAGGGGAAGGAUGUUGCGACAAACUCUAUCCCCCUUAAAGAGUGAAAUAGAAAGAGAGAAUGUGGAUAAGAGAAAAGCAAAAAACUAACAGACAAACAAACCCCUUCAAACCAGUUUUUGCCAAUCCAAUGUCACCUCUUGGUCUACAGUGCCAAAACUACAGAAAUUUGCGAAUAUUUUUCCACUGCUCUGGAGAUAGUCCCAGAUAAGGUUAUCUUCCCAGUGCUA